rnacentral:rRNA from 1 species
GACGAACGCUGGCGGCGUGCCUAAUACAUGCAAGUAGAACGCCGAAGGAGGAGCUUGUUUCUCUGGAUGAGUUGCGCACGGGUGAGUAACGCGUAUGUAACCUGACCGGUAGUGGGGGAUGACUAUUGGAAACGAUAGCUAAUAUCGCAUAAGAGAAGAUGUUGCAUUACAUUCGGCUAAAAGGUGCAAUUGCAUCACUACCAGAUGGAUCUGCGUUGUAUUGUUAUGUUGGUGGGGUAACGGUUCACCAAGGCGACGAUACAUAGUCGACCUGCGAAGGUGAUCGACCUCACUGGGACUGAAGCACGGCACCGCCUCCUACGGGAGGCAGCAGUCGGGGAUCUUCGGCCAUGGACGGAAGUCUGCACGAGCAACGCCGCGUGAGUGGAGGAGGUUUUCUGGUCUUCAAGCACUGUUGUCAGCGAAAAACGAGUGUCAGAGUGGACAGUUCACAUUAUGACGGUAUCUAACCAGAAAGCGACGGCUAACUACGUG